CGUCUCUCCCAGUGCCACCAUGCUGGCCUCAGGGCUGCUUCUGGUGGCUUUGCUGGCCUCCCUGACCAUAAUGGUCUUGAUGUCUGUCUGGAGGCAGAAGAAACUCUGCGGGAAUCUUCCUCCGGGACCCACCCCAUUGCCCUUCAUCGGAAACUACCUGCAGCUGAAUACACAACAGAUGUACAACUCUCUCAUGAAGAUCAGCGAGCGAUAUGGCCCGGUCUUCACGGUCCACCUGGGGCCCCGGCGCAUCGUGGUGCUGUGUGGAUACAAGGCGGUGAAGGAGGCUCUGGUGGACCAGGCUGAGGAGUUCAGCGGCCGAGGUGAGCAGGCCACCUUGGACUAUCUCUUCAAAGGCUAUGGCGUGGUAUUCAGCAACGGGGAGCGAGCCAAGCAGCUCAGGCGCUUCUCCAUCACCACACUGCGGGACUUUGGAGUGGGCAAGCGCGGCAUUGAGGAGCGCAUCCAGGAGGAGGCGGGCUUCCUCAUCGAGGCCCUCCGGGGCACACGCGGUGCCUUCAUCGAUCCCACCUUCUUCCUGAGCCGAACCGUGUCCAAUGUCAUCAGUUCCAUUGUCUUUGGGGACCGCUUUGACUACGAGGACGAAGAGUUCCUGUCACUGCUGCGUAUGAUGCUGGGAAGCUUCCAGUUCACAGCUACCUCUAUGGGGCAGCUCUAUGAGAUGUUUUCCUCAGUGAUGAAGCACCUGCCAGGGCCACAGCAACAGGCAUUUAAGGAGCUGCAGGGUCUCGAGGACUUCAUAGCCAAGAAGGUGGAGCAGAACCAACGCACCCUGGACCCCAACUCCCCGAGGGACUUCAUCGACUCCUUCCUCAUCCGCAUGCAGGAGGUGACUAGGACGCGGCACCAAUAAUGCUUAUGGUCAAGGUCUGUUUUGAAUCAUCUACGUCCAUAUCACACAUGGAUGUACAUAUUUGGACUAUCAUCUCCACCCUGAGACUGCUAGAUACCUAAACACUUUCCCCCUCCUCCCACAGCCAAGGUCCAUGAGGAGAUUGACCGGGUGGUUGGCACGAACCGUCAGCCCAAGUUUGAGGACAAGGCCAAGAUGCCCUACACAGAGGCGGUGAUCCACGAGAUCCAAAGAUUUGGAGACAUGAUCCCCAUGGGCGUGGCCCGGAGAAUCACCAAGGACACCAAGUUUCGAGAGUUCCUCCUCCCCAAGGGCACUGAAGUGUUCCCUAUGCUGGGCUCCGUGCUGAGAGACCCCAAGUUCUUCUCCAACCCCCGAGACUUCCACCCCCACCACUUCCUGGAUGAGAACGGGCAGUUUAAGAAGAGUGAUGCUUUUGUGCCCUUCUCCAUUGGAAAGCGGUACUGUUUUGGAGAAGGCCUGGCUAGAAUGGAGCUCUUUCUCUUCCUCACUACCAUCUUGCAAAACUUCCGCUUCAAGUCCCCGCAGCUGCCCCAAGACAUCGACGUGUCCCCCAAGCUCGUGGGCUUUGCUACCAUCCCACGAAAUUACACCAUGAGCUUCCAGACCCGCUGA